GUUUCGAGCGCUGUACACCCAGGCUGUGAGUGGAAAGCCCCGGAUCUGACCUGCUCAGAAUGUGGAUGUACCUAGAGCUCCCCAGGUCGUGACCAACAAGACCAUGCACAGAGCCCUGUACAACGUGACUUACACUCCACCCUAUCCUCAGAGCAGUCGUGUCUGCAGCCUUCUACAACAUGGAUGUGAGCGGAGGCCCUGACCAUCAUCACAUGGACUGGACUCACUACAACAUAGAAGGACAAAUAAAGGAAAUCCAUACUCAUCUGGGCAAAGUCAACUCAGGACCAGAG